rnacentral:rRNA from 1 species
AUUGAACGCUGGCGGCAAGCCUAACACAUGCAAGUCGAACGAGUGGCGGACGGGUGAGUAAUGUCUGGGAAACUGCCUGAUGGAGGGGGAUAACUACUGGAAACGGUAGCUAAUACCGCAUACCCUCGGAUGUGCCCAGAUGGGAUUAGCUAGUAGGUGGGGGAAAGGCUCACCUAGGCGACGAUCCCUAGCUGGUCUGCGAGGAUGACCAGCCACACUGGAACUGCGACACGGUCCAGACUCCUACGGGAGGCAGCAGGGGGGAAUAUUGGACAAUGGGCGCAAGCCUGAUGCAGCCAUGACGCGUGUGUGAAGAAGGCCUUCGGGUUGUAAAGGACUUUCAGCGGGGAGGCGUUACCCGCAGAAGAAGCACCGGCUAACUCCGUGCCAGCAGCCGCGGUAAUAC